AGUGAACGCUGGCGGUAGGCCUAACACAUGCAAGUCGAACGGCAGCACAGUAAGAGCUUGCUCUUACGGGUGGCGAGUGGCGGACGGGUGAGGAAUACAUCGGAAUCUACUUUUUCGUGGGGGAUAACGUAGGGAAACUUACGCUAAUACCGCAUACGACCUACGGGUGAAAGCAGGGGAUCUUCGGGCCUUGCGCGAUUGAAUGAGCCGAUGUCGGAUUAGCUAGUUGGCGGGGUAAAGGCCCACCAAGGCGACGAUCCGUAGCUGGUCUGAGAGGAUGAUCAGCCACACUGGAACUGAGACACGGUCCAGACUCCUACGGGAGGCAGCAGUGGGGAAUAUUGGGCAAUGGGCGCAAGCCUGAUCCAGCCAUACCGCGUGGGUGAAGAAGGCCUUCGGGUUGUAAAGCCCUUUUGUUGGGAAAGAAAAGCAGCAGGUUAAUACCCCGCUGUUCUGACGGUACCCAAAGAAUAAGCACCGGCUAACUUCGUG
rnacentral:rRNA from 1 species